rnacentral:misc_RNA from 1 species
AAGUCGUAACAAGGUCUUCGUAGGUGAACCUGCGGAGGGAUCAUUGAUGAAUCAAAGAGGUUGAGGCACUUAGCCACUUCCUCUUCAUCACCACACACACUGUGCACUUUUCUUCAGUCUCAGGAACCUUGCCUUUCGGGGCAGGCUGUACUUUGACUGGAAAACUCUUGUGAAUGAAAACAGUUUUGGAUGUUCCAAUUUGAAAAAGUUAAAACAACUAUUAACGGUGGAUCUCUUGGCUCUC